AAUUAAACAAACUAAAUGGCAUCACUGGUGGUUUUUUUUUCCACUCCGCUAAACUGUCAUCUCAAACAAAAACAAAUGGAUCAUACAACUGCUAUGAAUACAUUCGACUCGUUUGCUUCCAUCAAUCGGUAAGUGAGAAAGAUGAUUUCUCCCAUCACCACAGUGCGGAUUUCCACUUCUAUCACAGCAGCCAACAACAUCCGUUUUCCUGCAGCAGUAACCUCCAACCCCUGUUGGCAAUGCCGGGGGACAGCAUUAACAGCAGCAGCAGCAGAAUUUGACCAUGGUAUGGUAUUGCGAAGAACUUUCCCCAUUAGAGGUUCCGUGCUUCGCGCACAUUCAAAAAUCCUCUUCAGACACGAAAACUCAACGACAAGGAGGUAUUUAUCAACUUGCUCAGCUGAACUACCACCCGGAGGAACCCGAAUGCACUGAUUCCGUUGUAUAGUAGAAUGAAAAUAGGCGAGGUAAGCGAACGUAAUCGCAUGAUAUUUUAAUGUUCGCAUUUUUAUCCGGAUCAUACAACUGCUAUAAAUACAUCCGACUCAAUCAAUCGGCGAAUGAGAAAGAUGAUUUCCCUCAUCACCACAUUGCUUAUUUCCACUUCUGUCACACCAGCCAACAGCAUCAGCUUUCCCGCAGCAGUAUCCUUUAAGUCCAGGGUGCUAUUCCGGGGAACAGCAUCAACAGCAACAGCAGCAGGACCUGGCCAUCGAUAGUAUUUCGAGCAAUUUUCCCCAUCGGAGAUCCCGUGCUUCACGCACAUUGAAGAAUCCUCCUCAGCCACAUAUCUGUGUCAUCAAGGGCAAGGAGGUAUUCAUCAAUGUACUCAGUCGGAUUUGAAUCGUCAAUCCAGACAACCCGGAUGCACCGAUUCCAUUAUAUACCUUAUUUUUAUUAU